rnacentral:sRNA from 1 species
AUAUGAACAACGCAAAAUACCAACGUUCCUUCAAAAAGCAUUCCUACGAGGUUACUACUUCCAAGCGGUGAUCCAUGAUGUACGGAAAUCGUCUAUUGGAAUGGAGAUCAAUUCACCUGUAGUCGAUCUUGGGUGCAGUGCCAGUCUCGCUCUUUGAGAUUGUGACUGGGAUUGCAAUGAUUGACCACACAU